rnacentral:rRNA from 1 species
CCUACGGGAGGCAGCAGUGGGGAAUAUUGGACAAUGGGGGCAACCCUGAUCCAGCCAUGCCGCGUGUGUGAAGAAGGCCCUCGGGUUGUAAGGCACUUUCAGUGAGGAAGAACGCCUGGUGGUUAAUACCCAUCAGGAAAGACAUCACUCACAGAAGAAGCACCGGCUAACUCCGUGCCAGCAGCCGCGGUAAUACGGAGGGUGCGAGCGUUAAUCGGAAUUACUGGGCGUAAAGCGCGCGUAGGUGGCUUGAUAAGCCGGUUGUGAAAGCCCCGGGCUCAACCUGGGAACGGCAUCCGGAACUGUCAAGCUAGAGUGCAGGAGAGGAAGGUAGAAUUCCCGGUGUAGCGGUGAAAUGCGUAGAGAUCGGGAGGAAUACCAGUGGCGAAGGCGGCCUUCUGGACUGACACUGACACUGAGGUGCGAAAGCGUGGGUAGCAAACAGGAUUAGAUACCCUAGUAGUC